GGGUUGCUGCAGACAAUCAGAUCCAUACAGUUGGGGUUCAUAGCCUAAUCAUUCAUAAUUCAGAUAAUUCUUGGGUAUAGCAAGUUGCAGGCUAUGUGCUCUAGACAUGCUGAGUUUGUACUCUGGACUGAUCUGCAAGAAGGUUUGAUCGCCCUCUUCGGCAUUCAAUGGGAGGAGCACAUGCUGCCUCCAAACCGCAUCAGAGGAUGAGGCAUCGGCCGCCUUCGUAGUGAAAACGAGGACGUCAAGACAAGGAAACUCAAAAGGAUAAUCAAAAUUCUUUUUAGAAUAUUACUCAAUCUUAUGCUAGAAGAACUUGGUGUUUCAAAGGAUGAAUAACAUCUUGAGCUAUGUGAGUAUUGUUCUGUUUAACGCCUCUGCGCUCCAAGCGGAAUGUUCUCCCGUGUACCCCUCGAUGUCUGUAAUAAAGUCCAAGAGCUAUGAAAACAACAUGGAUUCUGCAUGUGUAAAAUCCAUACAUGUGUUGAUCUGGCGACAAAUACAAUCAUCAUAAACUGCUUAUGUCAAUUGUUCAUAAGCGUUUGCUACUCCUUUUGUGAUUUCGUUUGAUUUAUCCUAAUUUCAUCAUACGACUUUUUUUCCUGUGAAACCUGAAA